UACGUAGGGUGCGAGCGUUGUCCGGAAUUAUUGGGCGUAAAGAGCUCGUAGGCGGCUUGUCGCGUCGGAUGUGAAAGCCCGGGGCUUAACUCCGGGUCUGCAUUCGAUACGGGCAGGCUAGAGUUCGGUAGGGGAGAUCGGAAUUCCUGGUGUAGCGGUGAAAUGCGCAGAUAUCAGGAGGAACACCAGUGGCGAAAGCGGCUACCUGGCCCAUUCUUGACGCUGAGGCGCGAAAGCUAGGGGAGCAAACGGG
rnacentral:rRNA from 1 species